AACGAACGCUGGCGGCAGGCUUAACACAUGCAAGUCGAACGCCCCGCAAGGGGAGUGGCAGACGGGUGAGUAAUGCGUGGGAACAUACCCUUUCCUGCGGAAUAGCUCUGGGAAACUGGAAUUAAUACCGCAUACGCCCUACGGGGGAAAGAUUUAUCGGGGAAGGAUUGGCCCGCGUUGGAUUAGCUAGUUGGUGGGGUAAAGGCCUACCAAGGCGACGAUCCAUAGCUGGUCUGAGAGGAUGAUCAGCCACAUUGGGACUGAGACACGGCCCAAACUCCUACGGGAGGCAGCAGUGGGGAAUAUUGGACAAUGGGCGCAAGCCUGAUCCAGCCAUGCCGCGUGAGUGAUGAAGGCCUUAGGGUUGUAAGCUCUUUCACCGAUGAAGAUAAUGACGGUAGUCGGAGAAGAAGCCCCGGCUAACUUCGUGCCAGCCGCCGCGGUAACAC
rnacentral:rRNA from 1 species